rnacentral:lncRNA from 1 species
GUUGACUGCCGGCCGCUCUCCGCUCUCCGCUCUGCGGUCGCCAUGCACGGCCGACUGAAGGUCCGCCCUCCGGACGCCGCCCGCCGCCGCCAACGGAGGAGAAACUCCGCCUCUUUCGCGCCAACAUGGCCGCCCUGCUGGAGAAGGCGGGGCGUUGCCAGGACGACGCGGAGGCUGCUGACGCUGACGGGGGCGGUGGCUGGAGGCCAACCCGGACGUGGGGACCGCCUGGAACGUCCGCAGGGCGGCGUGCUGCGGAGGGGCGGUGAUUGGGUGUCCGAGGAGCUGAGCUUUGUGGGGCGCUGCCUGGGGGUGAACCCCCAAAUCCUAUGGCGCGUGGGCACCACCGCGGGUGGGUGCUGAGGGCUCACCCCGACCCCAGCGCCGAGAGGGGGCUCUGCGAGCGCCUCCUGGAGGCCGACCCCAGGAACUGUGAGAU